AUUUGUUGUUAGUGGUAGAAGC
rnacentral:sRNA from 1 species